UACGGAGGGGGCUAGCGUUGUUCGGAAUUACUGGGCGUAAAGCGCGCGUAGGCGGACUGUUAAGUCGGGGGUGAAAUCCCGGGGCUCAACCCCGGAACUGCAUUCGAUACUGGCGGGCUAGAGGUUUGGAGGGGAGAAAGGAAUUCCGGGUGGAGAGGUGAAAUUCGUAGAUAUCAGGAGGAACGCCGGAGGCGAAAGCGGGUCUCUGGCCAGCUACUGGCGCUGAGGUGCGAAAGCUAGGGGAGCAAACAGG
rnacentral:rRNA from 1 species